rnacentral:rRNA from 1 species
AUUGAACGCUGGCGGCGUGCUUAACACAUGCAAGUCGUGCGGUAACAGGCGUAGCAAUACGUGCUGACGAGCGGCGAACGGGUGCGUAAUACAUGGGAAUCUGCCUUUUAGUGGGGAAUAACCCGGCGAAAGCCGGGCUAAUGCCGCAUAAGAUCUUCGGAUGAAAGCGGGGGAUCGUAAGACCUCGCGCUGAUAGAUGAGCCCAUGCCGGAUUAGCUAGNGGUGAGGUAACGGCUCACCAAGGCGACGAUCCGUAGCUGGUCUGAGAGGACGGCCAGCCACACUGGGACUGAGACACGGCCCAGACUCCUACGGGAGGCAGCAGUGGGGAAUAUUGGACAAUGGGGGAAACCCUGAUCCAGCGACGCCGCGUGUGUGAAGAAGG